rnacentral:rRNA from 14 species
AGAAUGUCGAGUCAUUAUGCUCUUUUGUUCGGAGCUAUUCAUGUGUUACAAGGAGAGCUAUAUAGAUACUUAGAAUAUUAGAAUAGAAAUUAGUCAAGCAAAUGUUAGAUGCCUCAUUGAAGAUUGAAAUGUUAUUAUUGAAGUAGGAAUUAUUAGUAAUCUUUGGUUAGUUAUUUAAAGGUGAACAGGAGAUAAAUUGUGCACAUACCGCCCGUCAAGCAAAAAGCAGAGAUUGCUGAUGGAAGCAGAGCAAAGACAAGUGUGCAAAUGAGCGUGCUAAUUUGUGUUAAGUCGAAACAUGGUUGCUCUUCAGGAAUGAUGAGCUGGACUUUUU